rnacentral:rRNA from 1 species
AGUGAACGCUGGCGGUAGGCCUAACACAUGCAAGUCGAACGGCAGCACAGUAAGAGCUUGCUCUUACGGGUGGCGAGUGGCGGACGGGUGAGGAAUACAUCGGAAUCUACUUUUUCGUGGGGGAUAACGUAGGGAAACUUACGCUAAUACCGCAUACGACCUACGGGUGAAAGCAGGGGAUCUUCGGACCUUGCGCGAUUGAAUGAGCCGAUGUCGGAUUAGCUAGUUGGCGGGGUAAAGGCCCACCAAGGCGACGAUCCGUAGCUGGUCUGAGAGGAUGAUCAGCCACACUGGAACUGAGAAACGGUCCAGACUCCUACGGGAGGCAGCAGUGGGGAAUAUUGGACAAUGGGCGAAAGCCUGAUCCAGCCAUACCGCGUGGGUGAAGAAGGACUUCGGGUUGUAAAGCCCUUUUGUUGGGAAAGAAAAGCAGCAGGUUAAUACCCCGCUGUUCUGACGGUACCCAAAGAAUAAGCACCGGCUAACUUCGUG